CUGUCCUGUCCCCACCAUCUAACUCUAUUUCUGUGUCUUGGACGGCUUGACUAUAAACAAAUGCCGUUGUACUUUCAAAGCCCAAUGACAAAAAAACAUCUGUAUUUUUGACUAUGUGGAAUGCAAAUGUGGAACUAGAAUCCAGAAUCCUAAUUGAGGUUAAAAAAGAGCCCAUAGACACCAUCAUGAUGUCUGAUAUAAAAUUGGCUUUGCGAGUAAACGUCAUACUAGCUAGUCACGUAGUGUCUUGCUGCCAUGAUGAGGAUACUAGAACAUUCCUGCACAGGUCAGACCAAAGCAGUAACAUUUGCACAAUUGGUCAGCUGCUAGCAACUCUGCAGUCAUUGUGAGAUCUGUUCAAACAGAUCUUCUUUCUUGGUCCAGCGCCAUUUAGCAGCAGUUUCUGGUUGGCGUACUGUUGACUGAGUCUCGAGGCAUCCCGCCUGGCACAGUAGGCGGCGCACUUUACAUGGUGCUUCAGUUCUGCUUGGAGGAACGCGUUCACACCACUUCUGCUCCAGAGCAAACGUGUCCGACCUGGCAUCACUGACAUCUUCAGCUGUGAUGGAUGUGUCGUUCAUCACGACCCCAAUCAUCCACAACAGUAUCAACACCCAGAGGUUCCAGGCGCUGGGCAUACAGGUGAACCAAGUGGUCGGACUGCAGGACCUUUACCAGAUAAAUGGUCUUACACAGGACAUGUGACUAUCACUGACUAUCAACCUCUUCAUGUUCCAGUCUCUUGGUGGCUCUAAGCAGCUGUCAGUGAAAGACAUCACGCUCGGCUUCUUCUCCUCUUCCUUCCUGUCUCUGCUGGGAGCCACACAGCAUCACGAUGCAUGGAGGACUACCAGCAUGCUCCCGUCCCAUGUGGGUUCCACAAAUGAGCCGAGACAAAACGCCACCCAAGACCAGACCCCGAAGCAACACCACCCCCAUAACGGUUGUAUACUCAGCUGAGGCAGUUCUGCACCAUAUGCUGCCCCCUAGUGAUGGAGAAAACAAUGUGCAUCAGUGCUAUCAGGUAAGAACCAUACAGUAGUUGCUUGAUAACAUUCCUAAGUGAUUUUGGGGGGAAGAAAAACAUUAAAUUAAAUUAUUUUUAUUUUAGUUUAAUUAUUACAAUACAACUGAAAGCUUACUCUUUAAUAAAUGCCUGGCACACUCUCCAGUUGAGUAAAUAAUGCCCCUUCAGGGAUUAAAAUGAAUAUAAUAAAUAAAACACGGUAAAGAAUCUGGGUAUUAUCUUCGACCCAACUCUCUCCUUUGAGGCACACAUUAAAAGCGUUACUAAAACGGCCUUCUUUCAUCUCCGUAAUAUCGCUAAAAUUCGCUCCAUUCUGUCCACUAAAGACGCUGAGAUCAUUAUCCAUGCGUUUGUUACGUCUCGCCUCGACUACUGUAACGUAUUAUUUUCGGGUCUCCCCAUGUCUAGCAUUAAAAGAUUACAGUUGGUACAAAAUGCAGCUGCUAGACUUUUGACAAGAACAAGAAAGUUUGAUCACAUUACGCCUGUACUGGCUCACCUGCACUGGCUUCCUGUGCACUUAAGAUGUGACUUUAAGGUUUUACUACUUACGUAUAAAAUACUACACGGUCUAGCUCCAUCUUAUCUUGCCGAUUGUAUUGUACCAUAUGUCCCGGCAAGAAAUCUGCGUUCAAAGGACUCCGGCUUGUUAGUGAUUCCCAAAGCCCAAAAAAAGUCUGCGGGCUAUAGAGCGUUUUCCGUUCGGGCUCCAGUACUCUGGAAUGCCCUCCCGGUAACAGUUCGAGAUGCCACCUCAGUAGAAGCAUUUAAGUCUCACCUUAAAACUCAUUUGUAUACUGUAGCCUUUAAAUAGACUCCCUUUUUAGACCAGUUGAUCUGCUGUUUCUUUUCUUUUUCUUCUAUGUCCCACUCUCCCCUGUGGAGGGGGUCCGGUCCGAUCCGGUGGCCAUGUACUGUUUGCCUGUGUAUCGGCUGGGGACAUCUCUGCGCUGCUGAUCCGCCUCGACAUCUCUGCGCUCCUGAUCCGCCUCCGCUUGGGAUGGUUUCCUGCUGGCUCCGCUGUGAACGGGACUCCCGCUGCUGAGUUGGACCCGCUUUGGACUGGACUCUCGCGACUGUGUUGGAUCCAUUGUGGAUUGAACUUUCACAGUAUCAUGUUAGACCCGCUCGACAUCCAUUGCUUUCCUCCUCUCUAAGGUUCUCAUAAUCAUUAUUGUCACAGACGUCCCACUGGAUCAUUAUUGUCACCGAUGUCCCACUGGGUGUGAGUUUUCCUUGCCCAUAUGUGGGCCUACCGAGGAUGUCGUGGUGGUUUGUGCAGCCCUUUGAGACACUAGUGA